CGGUUGGAGGAGUGGGGCUGCGAGGCCGUGUCUCGGAUCCGCAGCCCGGCAGAGUGUGCGUAAACCCUUCCCCCGUCCGGAGGGGACCCAGCCAGCCCGCGUCCUGCCAGCUCGGGGGGGAUCGGAGGCGGGUGUUAGUGGUUAGAGGAAACUUUCCAGCAGAGCGCCUCGCCGGAGCAAACCGCGCAUCUGCCGAGACCGCUCCCUGGGCGCUCUUGCGAGCAGCUUCUGUUCCAGCGCGGUAGAAGCAGAAAGGAAGCGAAGGUCUGUGCAUCUGACAGCUAACGCUGAGGACCGGUGGGAAAAUCACACCCCCCCCAGCCCCCCCAGCUAAUGAAUAUGAAGAAACAGGCUCAGAGGGAGUAAGAAGCUAACUCAAGGGCUCAAGGUGACACAGCAAAACUGGAAUCUGAAACCAGAGAUUUGCCUGGGCAGCAGAGGCUGUCGGUGGAGGCUCGGGCUCCAGCACAAGGAGGCAGCAAGUCGUAUUGCUGGAAAGUGCUCUGCCGAUUGACCUCAGCUUCACUGAAGGGUGUUCCUGGGAAAGAUGAAUGCCACUGGAAGCGGAAAUUCUUGGCAAUGAGAAAAAAACCUGCCUGAUGCAGACACAUGCCCCACCCAAGCGAUUCCCAGCUGCAAGGGAUUCAGCAAGUCUCUGGGUCCCGCUGCCCUCGAUCCAUCGAUCCAUCACAGGGGAGGCAGGUCUGGGGAGAGCCAGUCGGCUAGGGUCUAUCCCCUUCCUCUCCCCUGUGCCAGGGUUGCAUUCACAGCACCCACGCCCAGAGCCACCUUGCUGAUUUGAAUCAAGGGAGACCAGGCAGGUCCAGCAGACCUUGGCAUCUCAGCCUCUGCAAGUGAAGAAGCCUUGAAGCUGCGACCCGGGAAUCUGGGGGAGGCCUGGAGACCACGUGCCCAAGAAGGGAUCCAAAGAGGGGGGCUGUGAAGCCAGGCCAUUGACAACAUCGGCAAAUCCCAAAGUAAUCUCCAGCUGCUUUGAUCUCCUAAGUACCCUGCUGCCCUGGACGCCCACUGCCGUGGCCAGGUGGGAGGUCGGCAUGGUGCAACAGCAGGAAGACUCCUUGUCAGUGGGAGAGAGGAAGAAGGAAGAGAGGAAGAAGAGCCCAGAGGACUGGCAGCCGGUACAACACAAGCUCAAGAGCAAGGACUGUGUGUGAAAUAUUCAUCACUGGACCUAGAGUACAACACAGAGAUGCUUAGUUACUUUGAAGCUCAAAUGAGGCAAAAUGCAUGAAGGCACUUUGAAGAUUUUAUAAAGCACCAUCAGAGUGUGUUACAGGGUAAGUAUGUCUGGACCCUCUCAAAGGAAGUUUAUUACUUAUAGUUCUGGGUCUGUUUAAGAAAAUUUUUAUAAAACUAUGUUUUUAACUAUAAGAUCAUUUAUAAAAUAGCAGUAUACUUUAUUAUAAAACUGUGUUUCUUGAAUCCCAGGUCUAUGGAGAUUAUUAACAUAUCAAAUAGUUGGUUGACAAAUAUUUUCCUUUAUAAAUUGCAGUUGCAAAGAAAAUGUCAAGGUAUGUGUUAAUGGUCAUAAUUUAUUGUCAUUAUUCACUAAGCUAAUAACUAGCAGUUUCAAUAAUUACUAAAUGCUUUUACAAACACACUAUUUCAUUGAAUCCUUAUGGCAAUCCCAUAAAACAGGUAGAGUGGCCCUCUAGGGUUAGAAUUCUAGAGCCUGGAAAACACAUGCUUUUAACCACUAUACUACAUUAUGCAGGAAAAACACAAGAAAAAGUAAUGAUCUUUUCUGUCUUCACCAAAUCACAUAAUUAAAAGAACCAAUAGAAUAAAUGGUUCCAAACUACAUUUUGAUCCUUGGUAAUAAAGGUGACUUUAGAAAAGUUGUAUCAGUGCUUACAAUUCAGUUCAUUUUAAAUCUUUAAAAAAUGCUUCCAGUUUUUUUCUUUCUGAAAAUAACACAUUGUUCACUGAAAAAAAAAACCCACAGAAUUAAAAUCUUAAUAUAUUAUUUCAUCAUU